rnacentral:rRNA from 1 species
UACGUAGGGUGCAAGCGUUUGUCCGGAAUUAUUGGGCGUAAAGAGCUCGUAGGCGGUUUGUCGCGUCUGCUGUGAAAUCCGGAGGCUCAACCUCCGGCCUGCAGUGGGUACGGGCAGACUAGAGUGCGGUAGGGGGAGAUUGGAAUUCCUGGUGUAGCGGUGGAAUGCGCAGAUAUCAGGAGGAACACCGAUGGCGAAGGCAGAUCUCUGGGGCCGUAACUGACGCUGAGACGCGAAAAGCGUGGGGGGAGCAAAACAGG